AUCAAAGCUGGUCAAGGUAUCUGGGAUUGUUAUUGCUGCAUCAAAGACUAAAGCGAAGGCAACUUAUGUGACUUUGCUAUGUAAGAACUGCAAAAAUGUGAAGAUUGUCCCAUGUCGUCCAGGGCUUGGAGGAGCUAUUGUACCACGUUCCUGUGAUCAUGUUCCUCAGGUGGGGGAGGACCCAUGUCCUAUUGAUCCAUGGGUAGUGGUUCCAGAUAAAAGUAAGUAUGUUG
rnacentral:misc_RNA from 1 species